GGGCUGAGGGGGGCAGUUCCUUAACUCUUGGGUUCUCAAGGAGGAUACUCAUACAUGGUGCUGAUUUGGUGCAGGAAGACAUGUUCAUGAGUUCCACAGAGAUGCAUCCAAGACCAUGAUUGGGACUAUUUCUAUUCUUACUUGCAUAGUUGUGACACGACAUGUUCCUUAACAAUGUUGGCAAUGUUAGUGGAUAUUGGUUGCAGCAUAUGACAUUAAUUGAGUUGGUUUCCUUAAAUGAGAUGCCUAAUCAGAUGUUUCUGAUAAUAGACCCAAAUGGAGUCUCUCUCCAGCAGCCUUGCAUUUUGAGAGCACUACACCUAUUCCUCCAUUGUGAGUGGACUGGAGGCUGAGGGUGGCAGCCCAACACAGGACUGAAGGGGGCAGUUCCUGUGGCGUUCUUCAUGGGGGAUACUCUUGAUGCUGACUGGAUGGAGAUCCUUAUUUUUCCUUAAUUGAAUGCAAUUUAGAGCAUUCUUAUGUAGAACAAAAGACAGCGAUAUAUUUGAAGAAAGGGAUUUACUGCCAUGAUUAGUGGUUGCUACUUUGAUAUUGGGAAAGACUCUGUGUGCUACAGGGACUAUUCAAGGAGAAGGUGUGUGCUGUUCCUUAAUAAAGAAAGACAUAUCUGUUGUGAUGCAUUGAAUGAGUGGUAGUUUCUUGUUGUAUGUCAUAUUGUCUAGGAGCACCUCUACCAUUUAUCCAACCUGAAUGGAUUCACAACCUGAAUGCAUGAUUCACAGUUGAAGAGUGCAGUUCUCAACAGUAAUGAGCGAAUACAGCAAAACAUCAGUGGAAAAAAAAUUCCUGCAUUUCCUCAAUGAAUUUACUCUUGGUUUCAUGAAGAGUCUUUAACAGACACCCUUGUAUUGUUUGAGCACGAUAGCUAUUCCUCCGCCUUGAGUGGACUGAGGGCUUAGGGUGGCAGCCCAACACAGGACUGAGGGGGGCAGUUCCUGUGGAGUUCUUCAUGAGGGAUACACAUGGUGCUGAUUGGAUAGAGAGGUACAUCAGUAACCUGAUUUGGAUUGUUCUUACACGGAUUUGUUGGCUGAAAGAUUGCAAGGCAACCAGAUGACACAUAAACAUGCCAUUCUGAGUACAGUACUUUAUGAAGUGAACACCUGGUGCUGUUAUUGGUACAGCGGAGAUCUUGAGCUGUAUUCGUUUCAGCAGGAUUACUAUUCAUCAAACUAGAUAGACUCUUUUGACAGCAGGUUGCAGUAUUCAGGAUUUUUUUUCUCGAUAGGAUUAAAGCAGAUGCUGACAUCAGAUAGGUUAAAGAACUAUUGAAGAGAUGAAUGUUUGCUUGAAGAGUAUCAAUAGGCACUUUUGUGUUGUUUGAGACUGUUUUAAACUAUUCCUCCAUCAUGAGUGGACUGAGGGCUGAGGGUGGCAGCCCAGCACAGGACUGAGGGGGGCAGUUCCUAUGGAGUUCUUCAUGGGGGAUACACAUGGUGCUGAUUGGAUAGGGACUUUGUUGGCAGAGAUCGAGAUUUCGGAUCACCUCAGAAUCCAAGUACAUGUACCUUAUGACAAAUAUUCCUGGUUCUGUUAUUGCUUUCACACGGUUGUUGGGCAGUAUGAAUAUCGGCAGGGUUUCUUUUCCUUAAAUCUGAAUGAACUGAUGAUGGCAGUUUAGUUUCAUUUCUUCAAUAGGUGUGCUUCAGUUGCUCAUAUGAGGCAGCUUUUAGAAAUAUUGGACUGGGCUCUCUCUUGUAUCAGUGGGGUCACUCCCCAGCAGCCUUGCAUUAUGAUAGCGCUAUUUCUAUUCCUCCGCCUUGAGUGGACUGUAGGAUGAGGGUGGCAGCCUAACACAGGACUGAGGGGGCAGUUCCUGUGGAGUUCUUCAUGGGGGAUACACAUGGUGCUGAUUUGAUGCAGAUAAAGUUUGCUGACUUUGGAAGGACUUCAGUAUAGAUUCACUUUGCAUUGAAGCCUUGGAGUAGACUAGCCUUGGAAUCACAGUUUUUGCAAUUGAGUAUUGGCCUUCUACUAAGCUACCUUGCAUCUAUACAACAUUGACUUCUCCUGUCCACUGUCUAUUGACAAUGACGUGGACGUUGCCAUGGGAUUCUGUUUAUGGGGCAGAUUUGAGGCAAGUAGGGUGUAUAAUGAAAUGUGUGAGAAACUUGGAAAUCAUUAGUGAGUUUUUUUUAUUCACAGCAAUAUCACUUCAGAGCUUUUAAGUAAUUCAUAUAUUAUACAUAAAAUUGCUUACAAAAGUACGGUAAAUAUAAAUGUUAAUAGGUUAGGGUCCAUACUGAGGCAGUCCAUACUGUCAUAAUAGAUGUCUUUUUAUUAGUCCCCUACCGGUUUUCACCGGAGGGGACUAUAGCUUUCCUCUGCAUCCGUCUGUCCGUCUGUCUGUCCCACUUCAGUUUUCCACACUUUUUUUCUUUAUGCGUUUGAGUAAUAAUAUGAAAUUUGCUGAACAGCUUCAA